AUAGAAUACCAGACCGCAGGUUUGUAAAUUUUUACAAAAAAUAAAACCGUGUAUUUAAUUUAGCAUGUAUAUAUUGCUUCUAUGUAUAUAAUAAUUCGUUUCGUUUAAAACAGUCAGAUUUAGAACCACUGCCACUGACUGCACCGGAAUUCUAUUUAUAUAAUGGCGCCACAAAGAAAUUUUUUUUGAUGUGUUCUAAAAGUGUUCCGCUAAUUCAGCAAUCUAAUGAAUCUGUCUUAAUUUUUCUGAAAUCGUGCUUAAUUAUUAUUAGCUAAUCGGCGCUACACCGUUGUUCAAAUACUUAUAAUUGCAAGAAACCCCCGACUAGGACCAGCAGUCAUUGAUGUUAGCAUAUGUACUACACAAAGAAAAACAGUUUCCAUAUUAGAUGCCAUAGCAAAUCAAAGAUCAUAUAAUAAAAUAAGUCAAAAAACCCAAAUAUGGGAAAAAAGAGAGCUGAAGAAAUGGUGAUUUGAGCACCUAUGAUUUCUCAUAGUUGUUUUUUGAGGAAAGAUCAAGACAGUUGAAAAUGGCUAUUCAUAUUAUGGAAACUUUUUCUCACAGAGCUUGAUAAUCAGGUAAAAUGUAAGUAACAUACAUAUUUGUAUUUUUAAUCAUCAACUAGUUCUAUACACUUGCUUGGUA